AUGAUUCGGCUGAUGGAAAUGUUCCAACUUGCAAGGUGGAAUAUAAAGUCAAGCCAUGUAAUCCCGAAGGCAUCAGAAAUGAUGAGUGUGUCGAUGUUAAGAAGACAGAAGUGGCUCUUCCCCAUGGAGGUGACAUUGUCUAUGGUGUUGCCCAUCAGCAUACAGGCGGCCUCGGGGCUGCAUUGUACGGACAGGAUGGACGACUACUGUGCACUUCUACACCGACUUAUGGAGAAGGCAAAGAAGCAGGUAAUGAGGCUGGUUACAUAGUGGGGAUGUCGACCUGCUAUCCUGGGCCAGGCUCUGUCAGAGUUGCGGACGGGGAGGUUCUUACAGUGAUAUCCAACUACAGCAGCUCGCGACAGCAUACAGGAGUGAUGGGGCUCUUCUAUAUCAUGGUUGCUGAAACGCAAACAACACAGGAGAUCAUGCCUCGGCAGAGCAUUUUCUAUUCACGGUGGAAGGAGUUGCCUGAGUACCCAUGGAUGUUUGUUGUUAUGGGAGGGCUGGUCGCCGUCAUGGCAGGCGUGUUUUACCGCCAAAGGAACGAAGAAGAAGGCUACCAGUCCUUAGUUACAGCUUAGGUUCCUUUAUGGCGCAUAAUAGCCUUAUUAGAAUUAAGUCCUUGUAGAGGUGACCAGAUAAAGGGCCAUUGUAAUGAACAACAUGUCCGUGCUUGAUUAGCCAUAUUCUGUGUUGAUUACUGUUUGUAUCUGAAUACAG
rnacentral:misc_RNA from 1 species